rnacentral:rRNA from 1 species
GGGCUCACACAAGCGGUGGAGGAUGUGGUUUAAUUCGAAGCAACGCGAAGAACCUUACCAGGUUUUGACAUGGUGGGAUUAGGUAGGUGAAAGCCUAUCGAUUACUCGCAAGAGUGUAACCAUCACAGGUGCUGCAUGGCUGUCGUCAGCUCGUGCCGUGAGGUGUCAGGUUAAGUCCUUUAACGAGCGAAACCCCUACGGUUAGUUGCCAUCAGGUAAUGCUGGGAACUCUAGCCGGACUGCCGCGCAAGCUGGAGGAAGGUGGGGACGACGUCAAGUCAUCAUGGCCUUUAUAACCUGGGCUACACACGUCCUACAAUGGGUUGUACAAUGGGUUGCGAGGCCGCAAGGCCAAGCCAAUCCCCGAAAGCAAUCCUCAGUUCAGAUUGUGGGCUGCAAUUCGCCCACAUGAAGCUGGAAUCGCUAGUAAUCGCGGAUCAGCCACGCCGCGGUGAAUUUGUUCCUGAGCCUU